rfam:Gossypium hirsutum cultivar TM-1 chromosome 21, whole genome shotgun sequence
CACGUCAGCGCGACCUGCUGACGUGGAAGGAAAUCGCGUCGCGCCCUCAAGGACGCGAUUUCCUUCCACGUCAGCAGGUCGCGCUGACGUGG